AUUGAACGCUGGCGGCAUGCUUUACACAUGCAAGUCGAACGGCAGCACGGGUGCUUGCACCUGGUGGCGAGUGGCGGACGGGUGAGUAAUGCAUCGGAACGUGUCCUGAAGUGGGGGAUAACGCAUCGAAAGAUGUGCUAAUACCGCAUAUUCUCUGAGGAGGAAAGUAGGGGAUCGAAAGACCUUAUGCUUUUGGAGCGGCCGAUGUCUGAUUAGCUAGUUGGUAGGGUAAUGGCUUACCAAGGCGACGAUCAGUAGUUGGUCUGAGAGGACGACCAGCCACACUGGGACUGAGACACGGCCCAGACUCCUACGGGAGGCAGCAGUGGGGAAUUUUGGGACAAUGGGCGCAAGCCUGAUCCAGCAAUGCCGCGUGAGUGAAGAAGGCCU
rnacentral:rRNA from 1 species